UUUUUUCCUUUCCCCACUAGAACCAGCUCGGUUCAGCCUGAGCAUUCCGGUGGUUGCCAUGGCAACUGAGCAUCAUCCCUCCCCAUCAAGCCCUUGUUGAGUGGAGCCCGUGCUGUCAGUCUGAUUUAUACGUGUGGUGGCAGGAUCCCGGCGCGUGUGAUUGGUCCGCGAGAAGCGUGAUCUGUUUGUUCUCGGGUGAUUGAAGGGUCAGCCGGCUUCCUCAUUGGCCAGGAGUCCAGCAGCGGAGGGAGGCACGCCCUCGGUUUCGGCGAGGGAACAUUUACUUACCAAUAGUCCUUUGUUGUUGGUCAUGCUCUUCUUGAUAGAGCGAUUAAGAAGUUUCUCACAGCAAGGAUUUACACAAGCUCCAGUCUGGAUCCAGAACACCUGAGAAGAGAUGAAAUCCAUGUAUCCAAGAAUAAUUUUUUCUGCAUAUUUCUGCCAAAUGUACAUUUAACUGAGUCACCACUACUACUAAAUAUAUUGUAAUUGACUGUAAUAUACAAAUAAACUUGAACUGAACUAAAUUGAACAGUAUAAAUUAUUUCAAGAGACCAGUGGUGACCUGGAACAGAAAAUUGAAUGAGAAAUGCAAUGAGUAACACCAAGCCAGGGCACUGUUGGUGGUUUUCCUGUGCACUGGAGAUGGAGGUCAAAACAUACAUUUAGAUUUUGUUGCUUCAGAGAGAAGUAGCCACCCAAAAAAAGUCAAAGGCCAGGUCACUCUUCAUGGUGAAGUUCUAGGUUUCAGCUUUACCUUAUGUGCUUUUGGAAGCAGCUGCAAAAUCUAGGAGAUCUGCUGUUUAAUAAAUUAAAUUGAAGACAACUUAUGCCAGGUUGAUGAAACUGUUGGACUUUAUGCACUGUCAUGGAAGCACUAUCCUUAGUUCACUUCAUCUAUUCAGAGAAGCACCUGAAUUAUUUUCAAACUCAGAAAAUGAGCAUUAUUCCCUUCAAAAAGGUUGACCAGAGACGCUUGUAACAUGUAUGCAAAUGGCUCCCUCUAGUGGGGAAAAUCUUCCAGUGCAGCAGCUGAA